GAUGAACGCUAGCGGCAGGCCUAACACAUGCAAGUCGAGGGGCAGCGGGGUGUAGCAAUACACUGCCGGCGACCGGCGCACGGGUGCGUAACGCGUAUACAAUUUGCCUUAUACUGGGAGAUAGCCCGGAGAAAUCCGGAUUAAUAUCGCAUAAAAUUGAGAGGUCGCACGAUUUCACAAUUAAAGCUACGGCGGUAUAAGAUGAGUUUGCGUCCUAUUAGCUAGUUGGUGAGGUAACGGCUCACCAAGGCGACGAUAGGUAGGGGGCCUGAGAGGGUUAUCCCCCACACUGGUACUGAGACACGGACCAGACUCCUACGGGAGGCAGCAGUGAGGAAUAUUGGUCAAUGGAGGCAACUCUGAACCAGCCAUGCCGCGUGCAGGAUGAAUGCCCUAUGGGUUGUAAACUGCUUUUAUUUGGGAAUAAACCCCUCUUACGUGUAAGAGGCUGAAGGUACCAAAGGAAUAAGGACCGGCUAACUCCGUGCCAGCAGCCGCGGUAAUAC
rnacentral:rRNA from 1 species